rnacentral:rRNA from 1 species
CACGUAGGGGGCAAGCGUUGUCCGGAUUUAUUGGGCGUAAAGAGCUCGUAGGCGGUUCGGUAAGUCGGGUGUGAAACCUCCAGGCUCAACCUGGAGACGCCACCCGAUACUGCUGUGACUAGAGUCCGGUAGGGGAGCGUGGAAUUCCUGGUGUAGCGGUGAAAUGCGUAGAUAUCGGGAGGAACACCUGUGGCGAAGGCGGCCCCCUGGUUGGAUACUGACGCUGAUACGCGAAAGCGUGGGGAGCAAACAGGG